GGAGGGGUAGCGAAGUGGCUAAACGCGGCGGACUGUAAAUCCGCUCCUUACGGGUUCGGGAGUUCGAAUCUCUCCCCCUCCACCA
rnacentral:tRNA from 1 species